rnacentral:tRNA from 1 species
GGCCUCGAAGCUCAGUUGGCUAGAGCGCUGGCUGUACUAAAGCCUUUCCCUUACUUGUGUGGGUUUAAAUCCCACAGAGGCCA